UACGAAGGGAGCAAGCGUUGUUCGGAUUUACUGGGCGUAAAGGGCGCGUAGGCGGCUCUACAAGUCACUUGUGAAAUCUCCGGGCUUAACUCGGAACGGUCAAGUGAUACUGUCGAGCUAGAGUACAGAAGGGGCAGCUGGAAUUCUCGGUGUAGCGGUGAAAUGCGUAGAUAUCGAGAGGAACACCUGCGGCGAAAGCGGCUCUCUGGGACGGUACUGACGCUGAGACGCGAAAGCGUGGGGAGCAAACAGG
rnacentral:rRNA from 1 species